rnacentral:lncRNA from 1 species
UUAAAGCUUUUUUGCACCUUCUCUUUUACGGCAGAAGAUUUCAUUUUUCUCAAUGCCUAUCUCAGGUGGUAUAACUUACUUUUUGUUCCUUUGAUAAGAUUUCCUUUUCGUCUUUGGUUUCUUCAUAUAUCUGACUUGAGGGAUCAACUUUUCUUCUUUUUAAUUUGCUAUCUUUUAACUUUUCUUUACUUGUUUCUGUAAAUGCUUUCAUUCCUCUCAGUGCAUGUUCUGUAUUUGGUGUGAUUCAGAGAUUUUUGAUUCAAAUUUCUUUCGUUUCAAUGUUUUUAACUUCUUGUUUUUACAUAUUUCUAUAUUGGCCACUCAUUUAUUGGCACUGCGUGAGAAGUUACAAUUUGUCUAAAAGAAGAAAGUAGAAGUAAGCAUCCAAAAUCCUCACAAGACAAUUAAUAAGCAGUAAACCAAAGAGGAUGAAAAAAAACUCUGCUCCUUAGACCUGCGAGACAACAUUCAGGCCUCAAUCUCCAAGCAGCAUGAUACUUUCUAUAAGCCACAAACAAAGAAUAUCCCAUUUCCAUGUACAAGCUUUGGUUUAAUAUGGAAAACACUCAACUGUCUACAGAAUAAGAUAACUUAGCAAUUUGAACCAAAUAAAAUCAAAACAUAGGAACAAAUGUUUUUCUAACCUCCAGAAAUCAACAACCUUAGUCAACUCUAUUUUUUUCUCUUAGCUAUUCAUCCCCAAAAUUUUUAACCUGAUAGUCACUUCUAAUAAAGGCUUGGCUUUUGUCUGGUAAUGAGAUUCUCCUUUCUCCUUUUACAUGAUAUCCUUCCAAAAUUGAGCGAUCUAACAUAAUGGUUAACAUGGUGGUAAGCAUGCUUAAAAUUAUGUUUUCCUAUUUAUUUCCUCAUUAUGGAAUUUCCUCCACUAUAAAGGAUGGCAAGCUCUCUUCCUUUCAUUAUGCACAUACCAGAAAUCAGGUGAGUGGGCCGGCCACCAUCCAAAAAAUUGCAUCUUACUUGUAGCUGCAGAACCAUAAACAAAUUGCUUGCUGGAUCCUACAGGAUAUUCUCAUGCAAUCACGUGGCAAAUUAGUACCCAUUACCAAGCAUGUUGCGUUUCUGACUAAGCUUGAACUCAUGAAAGAUUUGCCGCAUCAUCUUCUUCUUCAUGUUUAUUUUCCUAACAUUUAUUUCUUUGCUUUUUUCUGGUGAGAGCUUUGUUUGAGGUCUUGGUUGUAUAUUGUGGUUUUCUUGUUACAAUUGUCUUCUCGUUCCGUGGUUUGACUACUUGUUUCUACAUGACCUUUAAUUUGAGUUCUUCUGGCAACACUUCAUUCUAAAGCAAUCGCUCAAAGCUACUUAGUUCACCAGUUCUCAUGGUUCAGGCUUGAGUUAUGCUUAGUAUUUGGUGUAAUGAGUAGCACAUGGAAUUUGCUGAAGUUAGAUUGAGGAUUUUCUUUUCUAGUAGAUUAAAAUUAUAAGAUAGUUUCAUUCUGAGCUUAUGUCAGUUCCACCAUUCGCACAAUUUAUGUUCAUGAACAAAAGCAGAGAUAAAUGAAAGGGGAUGUGGAUUAGGACUUAAGGAGAAAUCAAUGACCAAAUUUUGAGCAUGUGUAAGAGCGAAGGUAUUUUGGAUGGCAAAUAAGCCACAUUAGACCAAUACUCGAUCUUAGCAUGUGUGUUGCAUGUGAUUUGCUCAAGAAGAAAAGCAUUUGAUGCGUGGCUAUGAUCCCUUCAUCAAGACUGCAUAUAGAAAAAUUGAUGAUAAUACUUCUAUUCUAGAAACAUUCUGUCUACAUGGUACUCUUGGAGAAGUUCGACCCACACAUGGGCCUCUAAUGGAAGAAGAUUAACUCUAACUGAAAGGAGUUUGGACUGGCCAAAAUUCUAAUUAAAGAAGGAAAGCCAAAAUUGUAUUCUGACAAAAGUCUUUGAUGGACAACUCAGGCAAGAGGCUGUGAUUAAGAUCUACUUUUUUUUGGUUAAAUGCACGGAAAGACAUUAAAGGAAAUAAAUACGAAGCUAGAUAUGCAUGGAGAUAAACUGAACGAAAUAAAUAUGUCCCUUCUUCCCUCAAUGCAGAUACUGUGUUUUUUUCUAAAAAACAAAUAAAAAAUGGAGGUUGCCCUCCCCAAAAAAAACAACACACACAUGCACACAAAAAAGGAUAUAGGUUAUGGGUCAUUUUAGGACUAUUUUAUAGAUUAACAAAUGGUUUAGCAAAGUGGGCAAAUAAUGACCUAUCAGAACUUGUUUCUGCUAUAAGUUCACAUCUUCUUAAAGUUGGGUGUAUUUUCCACACUAUUGUGCUGGCUUGCUAGAAUGUUUUUAACUUUGCACCUUACCUUACCUCUAACCAAAUCAUCCACGUAGUGCUUUUAAUUAUGUUUAAAAAUGACUUGGAUGGAUGCUUGGAACAAAUAUCUAAUCUGGUUGUAAGUUUUAAUUUUUGGUCUCUGAGGUCCAAUGUAUUUUUUAUGUUUUUUUUGUACCAAUAAAUGCUCUCUCCUUCUCCAGAUUCUCCAAUUGACUGACUGAUCAAGAGAGCACAAGCAGCAAUAUGUGCACCUGUUGACUGUUGACUGUUGAAUUAGAUAGUCCUAUAAAAACAUAUAUGAAAAGACAGGAAAUAUUUUAGGAGUAAAUUCUUGCUACCAAGAGGGCUAAAUUCUUUAUCUUUCGGUUCUUUUGCCUUUUGUCUUCACUUUUUUUCUUUUUCUUUUCGCUCUUGCUUCUGCUAAAGGUUUCAUUUUUCUUGAUUUCCCAUUUUGUUCUGCGGGGCUAUUUAGACAAACCGCUUUUUUUUGUUUCUUGAUAUAUCUAUGAACUGGUACACUGUUUUAUCUUCUAUACUGUUCACUGGCUUCUUCUUUAUAGUUUGUUUUGGUAAAAUCUUGAUGCCUGUUGCAUUACAAUGUUCAUAUUUUUCUGAUUUGGGGCUUGUCCUUUUCUAUAUUCUUGAUAUUUGUCCUCCCAAGGUGCUCGUUUUUUCUUUACUAUUAUAUUUCAACUUUUGUCGUGCUUUUUUCCCCCUUCUUGAUUCAUAUUUUCUAUCACAGGAUUCUUUUGCUAAACUAUAUUACCAUUUUCCGUAUAUGGUCCUUUUAGUUUCUUGAUAUUUCUAAAAUUUUUUUCUUUUCUUAAAGCUUUUUUUGCACCUUUUAUUUUAUGGUAGAAGAUUUCAUUUUUCUCAAUGCCUAUCCCAGGUGGUAUUUUGUAAGAUAACUUACUUUUUGUUCCUUUGAUAAGGUUUUCUUUUCGUCUUUGGUUUCUUCAUAUAUCUGACUCAAGGGAUCAACUUUUCUCUUUUUUGCUGCUUUUUAACAUUUCUUUACUUGUUUCUGUAAAUGUUUUCAUUCUUCUCAAUGCCUGUUCUAUAUUUUGGUGUUAUUCAGAGAUUUUGAUUCAAAUUUCUUUGGUUUCACUGCGUUUCACUUCUAGUUUUUACAUAUUUCUAUAUUGGCCACUCAUUUAUUGGCAUUGCUUGAGAAGUUACAAUUUGUCUAAAAGAAGAAAGUAGAAGUAAGCAUCCAAAUCCCUCACAAGACAAUUAAAUAAGCAGUAAACCAAGGAGGAUGAAAAAUUAAAAAUGAGCACCCUCUUGGAGAUAGCUUCCAAUUUUUGGUCUUCCAAGAUAGCCUUUAUUUUUUAGAACACAACUAGCAUGAUGAAUUGUUAAGGGUUUGUCAACAAAUUUAGCCCUCUUGGUAGCAAUCAUUGAUUUCUCCUUAAGUCCUAAUCCACAUCCCCUUUCAUUUAUCUCUGCUUUUGUUCAUGAACAUAAAUUGUGCGAAUGGUGGAACUGACAUAAGCUCAGAAUGAAACUAUCUUAUAAUUUUAAUCUACUAGAAAAGAAAAUCCUCAAUCUAACUUCAGCAAAUUCCAUGUGCUACUCAUUACACCAAAUACUAAGCAUAACUCAAGCCUGAACCAUGAGAACUGGUGAACUAAGUAGCUUUGAGCGAUUGCUUUAGAAUGAAGUGUUGCCAGAAGAACUCAAAUUAAAGGUCAUGUAGAAACAAGUAGUCAAACCACGGAACGAGAAGACAAUUGUAACAAGAAAACCACAAUAUACAACCAAGACCUCAAACAAAGCUCUCACCAGAAAAAAGCAAAGAAAUAAAUGUUAGGAAAAUAAACAUGAAGAAGAAGAUGAUGCGGCAAAUCUUUCAUGAGUUCAAGCUUAGUCAGAAACGCAACAUGCUUGGUAAUGGGUACUAAUUUGCCACGUGAUUGCAUGAGAAUAUCCUGUAGGAUCCAGCAAGCAAUUUGUUUAUGGUUCUGCAGCUACAAGUAAGAUGCAAUUUUUUGGAUGGUGGCCGGCCCACUCACCUGAUUUCUGGUAUGUGCAUAAUGAAAGGAAGAGAGCUUGCCAUCCUUUAUAGUGGAGGAAAUUCCAUAAUGAGGAAAUAAAUAGGAAAACAUAAUUUUAAGCAUGCUUACCACCAUGUUAACCAUUAUGUUAGAUCGCUCAAUUUUGGAAGGAUAUCA